rnacentral:miRNA from 1 species
AAGAAUUUUGGGACGGAGGGA